CCUACGGGAGGCAGCAGUGAGGAAUAUUGGUCAAUGGACGAGAGUCUGAACCAGCCAAGUAGCGUGAAUGAUGACUGCCCUAUGGGUUGUAAACUUCUUUUAUAUGGGAAUAAAAUGUUCCACGUGUGGGUUUUUGUAUGUACCAUAUGAAUAAGGAUCGGCUAACUCCGUGCCAGCAGCCGCGGUAAUACGGAGGAUCCGAGCGUUAUCCGGAUUUAUUGGGUUUAAAGGGAGCGUAGGGUGGUUGUUAAGUCAGUUGUGAAAGUUUGCGGCUCAACCGUAAAAUUGCAGUUGAAACUGGCAGUCUUGAGUACAGUAGAGGUGGGCGGAAUUCGUGGUGUAGCGGUGAAAUGCUUAGAUAUCACGAAGAACUCCGAUUGCGAAGGCAGCUCACUGGACUGCAACUGACACUGAGGCUCGAAAGUGUGGGUAUCAAACAGGAUUAGAUACCCCUGUAGUC
rnacentral:rRNA from 1 species